rnacentral:rRNA from 1 species
UACAGAGGUCUCAAGCGUUGUUCGGAUUCAUUGGGCGUAAAGGGUGCGUAGGCGGCGCGGUAAGUCGGGUGUGAAAUCUCGGAGCUUAACUCCGAAACUGCAUUCGAUACUGCCGUGCUUGAGGACUGGAGAGGAGACUGGAAUUUACGGUGUAGCGGUGAAAUGCGCAGAUAUCGGGAGGAACACCGGUGGCGAAAGCGGCUCACUGGACCACAACUGACGCUGAGGCGCGAAAGCUAGGGGAGCAAACAGG